rnacentral:lncRNA from 1 species
AAAUUACAGGCUUAUUGUUUUUUUGUUAAUUAUGAUAUAAUUACAGUAAUUAAAGCUACUAUUUAUCCAUUUUCUAAUGACUUGUACUAUAAUAACGCUCGUCAUGUUCAACAAACACAUUUACGGACAGCUUCGUUGCAGUUCCUCAAGGAAAUUCUCCUAACAAGUUUUUAUAUGAAGGCUACACGACGAGAGCAGUAUUUGGCUGAUCAAAAGAAGUUAUUGACUCUUCAGCCUCAUAUACACCAUCAGAAGAAGUUAUGACUGCAGAGCCAGGAGUUUCAUCCCUUGCACCAAUUCGCCUCGUUCCAAACCAAUUUGAGCCGCCAAUGGACUUGCCUAUAGCUUUUCUCAAAGGUACUUGUUCUACUCAAAAUCGUCAUCGCGUUUUUAGCUUCACGAGUUGUAGAGUUAUAUGUUUCUUCCAGUGUGCAUUUGUAUUUGUCAACUCUUAUGUGUGUGUUCCUAAUCAUGUGCAUAAAGCACUCUCUCAUUUAUGGUUUUCUAUCAUUGAAUAUUUACAAUGAAGGUGUAUCCAGGUGGUAAGGUUGAUCGUUAAAAGUCUGUUUUGGUCAAAGGGUAUAUUAAAAUUUUUGGUAUCGAUAAGCAUGUGUAUGCUAUGUUUUUAUUUUAUUCUCCACGGCCACCAUGCGCAACUGACUCUUCAUCAUUUCGAUAUAAAACACACUUUUCUAUUUGGUGAUUUUGUUGAGGAAGUUUAUAUGGUGCCACCGCCCAUGUUCAUUGCUUAGAGGAGUUGUGUGGUUUUGUUUGUAGGCUGCAUAAAGUCUCGUAUGGUCUGAAGCGAAGCCUAAGAGAACGGUUUCACAAAAUUGAUGCAGUUCUUCAAGGCUACAUGACACAAUUUGGCGCUUUACAAACAUUCCUCGACAAAUCAAUGCGUAUAUUUUGUUUAUGUAGAUGAUAUUGUUAUUCUAAGA